rnacentral:tRNA from 1 species
AGUAGAGUGGCUGAGGUUAUAAGUGGUAGAUUGUAAGUCUAUUAAGGGGUUUACCCCUCUACUA